rnacentral:lncRNA from 1 species
CCACAUCAUUUUCCAAAGAGAUAAUUGGAAGAUGGAAAUGGAGGGUCAAAGAAUGAAAUGCAGCUAAGAUUUCUAAUUUCUAAAAGUUGUACAGCAUGCCCUAUGGCUACUCUUUAAAUCUCCAAAUCAAAUGAGUGCCAGAGAGCUCCCUUGCCCCUUCCACUGUGUGAGGAUACAGUGAGAAGGCACUGUCUAUGAACCAGGAAGUGGGUCCCCACCAGACAUUGAAUCUGUCACACCUUAAUAUUGGACUUCCAGACUCCAAAAUUGUGGGCAAUAAAUGUCUGUUGUUUAUAACCUGCCCAGUAUCUUUAGUGUUUUGCUAUAGCAACCCAAAUGGUCUAAGAAAACAACAGAGUCUAUACCUAAUAAAAACAUCAUCUUCAC